rnacentral:rRNA from 1 species
CCUACGGGCGGCAGCAGUCGAGAAUCAUUCACAAUGGGGGAAACCCUGAUGGUGCGACGCCGCGUGGGGGAAUGAAGGUCUUCGGAUUGUAAACCCCUGUCAUGUGGGAGCAAAUUAAAAAGAUAGUACCACAAGAGGGAGAGACGGCUAACUCUGUGCCAGCAGCCGCGGUAAUACAGAGGUCUCAAGCGUUGUUCGGAAUCACUGGGCGUAAAGCGUGCGUAGGCUGUUUCGUAAGUCGUGUGUGAAAGGCGCGGGCUCAACCCGCGGACGGCACAUGAUACUGCGAGACUAGAGUAAGGGAGAGGGAACCGGAAUUCUCGGUGUAGCAGUGAAAUGCGUAGAUAUCGAGAGGAACACUCGUGGCGAAGGCGGGUUCCUGGACAUUAACUGACGCUGAGGCACGAAGGCCAGGGGAGCGAAAGGGAUUAGAUACCCCUGUAGUC